GAUGAACGCUGGCGGCGUGCCUAAUACAUGCAAGUCGAGCGAACAGAUGAGAAGCUUGCUUCUCUGAUGUUAGCGGCGGACGGGUGAGUAACACGUGGGUAACCUACCUAUAAGACUGGGAUAACUCCGGGAAACCGGGGCUAAUACCGGAUAAUAUUUUGAACCGCAUGGUUCAAUAGUGAAAGACGGUUUCGGCUGUCACUUAUAGAUGGACCCGCGCCGUAUUAGCUAGUUGGUAAGGUAACGGCUUACCAAUGCGGCGAUACGUAGCCGACCUGAGAGGGUGAUCGGCCACACUGGAACUGAGACACGGUCCAGACUCCUACGGGAGGCAGCAGUAGGGAAUCUUCCGCAAUGGGCGAAAGCCUGACGGAGCAACGCCGCGUGAGUGAUGAAGGUCUUCGGAUUGUAAAACUCUGUUGUUAGGGAAGAACAAAUUUGUUAGUAACUGAACAAGUCUUGACGGUACCUAACCAGAAAGCCACGGCUAACUACGUGCCAGCAGCCGCCGUAA
rnacentral:rRNA from 1 species